UGAGUUUGGUCUCAGAAGAAGUAAACAAUACUAGAAAUGGGUCGAACAGAGGCGUUUAUUAGAUUUCGAGAUGAUGUUACAAAGGUGGAGAAAGUAAAAGCAAGCCGGAGCUCGUGAGAGCUUAAACCGGAAAAGUACAAAUAGCAGAGAGAUGAUUGUACGGAUGAUAAACCCUAAUCUCGCCGCUAAGUUUGUGUAGCUAAGUGUCGAUGCCUUUCUCCUUUGCUUUCCUCUCCUUUUAUACUCUGUUCGAUUACCUUAACCUAAACUCUUUUUACUAAUUGGGCUUUGUCGGCCUUUCGGGCCUGAUUAUGAGAUGCUCGCUGAGCCGUUGAGUCGAUCAACCUCGCUCCGCUUGCUCUCUGCUUCGACUAUCAGCGCUCCCUGUCGAGUCGAUCUCUCGAGAAUCGGCUUCUGCGCCGAUGUCGACUCGGUUUGCUGGACUGGGCCCUUUGUUCGAUGGGCUUUGUGGAUGGGUUAAAUCCAUCCCCAACAGUUUACGGACUUAUUUUUUGAAUCGUCUCUUACUUUUCUUUCUGCUUUAUCAUUUUUUUUAUAUUUUUUUGGCUUUAAGAUAAGUCCCCCCCC
rnacentral:lncRNA from 1 species